CUGUAAAGUCACAGUUGAACCUGUAUCCGACCCAGCUUCUGAUGUCUGCAUUGUGGUCUCUGAGGAAAAUUAAGAAGCAAAAUUAAAAGGGAGUAUACAGGGAACUACAGGAUCCCUCGAUUUUGUGUAGGAGAAACAGCAAUACAAUGGACUGGAAGGCAAAUCAACAUUAAAUGAAAAUCAGGAAGUAGAUUAAAAACAUAAUAAUAACUGCA